rnacentral:rRNA from 1 species
UACGAAGGGGGCUAGCGUUGUUCGGAAUCACUGGGCGUAAAGGGCGCGUAGGCGGCUUUAUAAGUCGGGGGUGAAAGCCUGUGACUCAACCACAGAAUUGCCUUCGAUACUGUAGAGCUUGAGACCGGAAGAGGUAAGUGGAACUGCGAGUGUAGAGGUGAAAUUCGUAGAUAUUCGCAAGAACACCAGUGGCGAAGGCGGCUUACUGGUCCGGUUCUGACGCUGAGGCGCGAAUGCGUGGGGAGCAAACAGG